UUUAAACUCAGAAUAAUUCCAUUUUCAGCUUCCAAAAACGAGCUCAUCUCCUUCCUUAGAGAAAUCAACAUGAAAAAAUUUUCAAAACUCCAUAACUUCUUCGUUUUUGAUCCGAUUGGAGUGAUUCUUGCGGCAACGGAAAGAGGAAAACGAUACCUACUGAUUGAGAUCAUCAAAUCAAGACUUGACGAGGCGACUACCAAUGGAAUCCGAAACUUACAGAACGCGAGAUCGCUAGGUAUUAUCGAAGAUUAUGGAUAGCAAGCGUGUGUUUUCAGGUACCUAGAUUCUGAACUUGGCUAGAAGUCCGUCUUUGACCGGAAGUCCCUUUGGCUAUGUACAGUCCCGACUUCCAUAAUUGCUGCAGUAGUAUAAUGUUUGACUAGUGUCGUAGCCUAGUAAAUUAAUAUGUUUUUCCUUGUUUACAGUUGUUGACAAUGUGUUUAUGUUUGUUUUGGCUACGAUUGUCAUAUUUAUUCCACGGAGGUAAAUUCCCGUGAGGUGUAUGUAACACUAGUAUUGUACGCCGGGUUAGUACGUACAAGGUACAGAAACGAUAGGCCCGAGCAAGUUGUAAUGUUUUGCUAGUGUAUAUAAAUGCUUCCGUUUGUAAA